GACGAACGCUGGCGGCGUGCCUAAUACAUGCAAGUCGAGCGGACCAAAGGGAGCUUGCUCCUGGAGGUUAGCGGCGAACGGGUGAGUAACACGUGGGCAACCUGCCUGUAAGACUGGGAUAACAUCGAGAAAUCGGUGCUAAUACCGGAUAAUAAAAAGAACUGCAUGGUUCUUUUUGAAGAUGGUUUCGGCUAUCACUUACAGAUGGGCCCGCGGCGCAUUAGCUAGUUGGUGAGGUAACGGCUCACCAAGGCAACGAUGCGUAGCCGACCUGAGAGGGUGAUCGGCCACACUGGGACUGAGACACGGCCCAGACUCCUACGGGAGGCAGCAGUAGGGAAUCUUCCGCAAUGGACGAAAGUCUGACGGAGCAACGCCGCGUGAGUGAUGAAGGUUUUCGGAUCGUAAAACUCUGUUGUUAGGGAAGAACAAGUGCCGUUCGAAAGGGCGGCACCUUGACGGUACCUAACGAGAAAGCCACGGCUAACUACGUGCCAGCAGCCGCGGUAAAGU
rnacentral:rRNA from 1 species